rnacentral:rRNA from 1 species
AUUGAACGCUGGCGGAAUGCUUUACACAUGCAAGUCGAACGGCAGCACGGACUUCGGUCUGGUGGCGAGUGGCGAACGGGUGAGUAAUGUAUCGGAACGUGCCCAGUCGUGGGGGAUAACGUAGUGAAAAUUACGCUAAUACCGCAUACGAUCUAUGGAUGAAAGCGGGGGAUCGCAAGACCUCGCGCGAUUGGAGCGGCCGAAAUCAGAUUAGGUAGUUGGUGGGGUAAAGGCCCACCAAGCCAACGAUCUGUAGCUGGUCGGAGAGGACGACCAGCCACACUGGAACUGAGACACGGUCCAGACUCCUACGGGAGGCAGCAGUGGGGAAUUUUGGACAAUGGGCGAAAGCCUGAUCCAGCCAUUCCGCGUGCAGGAUGAAGGCCCUCGGGUUGUAAACUGCUUUUGUACAGAACGAAAAGGUUUCUACUAAUACUAGGAGCUCAUGACGGUACUGUAAGAAUAAGCACCGGCUAACUACGUGCCAGCAGCCGCGGUAA